CCUACGGGAGGCAGCAGUGGGGAAUUUUGCGCAAUGGGGGAAACCCUGACGCAGCAACGCCGCGUGGAGGAUGAAAUCCCUUGGGAUGUAAACUCCUUUCGAUAGGGAAGCGGUACCUAUAGAAGAAGCCCCGGCUAACUUCGUGCCAGCAGCCGCGGUAAUACGAGGGGGGCAAGCGUUGUUCGGAUUUAUUGGGCGUAAAGGGUGCGUAGGCGGUUUGGCAAGUCUUGUGUGAAAUCUUCGGGCUCAACCCGAAGCCUGCAUAAGAAACUGCCGGGCUUGAGUAUUGGAGAGGUGAGUGGAAUUUCCGGUGUAGCGGUGAAAUGCGUAGAUAUCGGAAGGAACACCUGUGGCGAAAGCGGCUCACUGGACAAACUGACGCUGAGGCACGAAAGCUAGGGGAGCAAACAGGAUUAGAUACCCUUGUAGUC
rnacentral:rRNA from 1 species